rnacentral:rRNA from 1 species
UACGAAGGGGGCUAGCGUUGCUCGGAAUCACUGGGCGGAAAGCGCACGUAGGCGGAUUCUUAAGUCAGGGGUGAAAUCCUGGAGCUCAACUCCAGAACUGCCUUUGAUACUGAGGGUCUUGAGUUCGGGAGAGGUGAGUGGAACUGCGAGUGUAGAGGUGAAAUUCGUAGAUAUUCGCAAGAACACCAGUGGCGAAGGCGGCUCACUGGCCCGAUACUGACGCUGAGGUGCGAAAGCGUGGGGAGCAAACAGG